rnacentral:lncRNA from 1 species
AACGCAGACAAGGAGAGGCUCGGGGUGACCUGUGGGGGGCUCCAGGAGGGCCUUCUCUGCCCCUCUGCCUGCCCCAUCCUCACCCGGGAUGAGCACUCCCCGCUCUGCCCGGUCUCCCCGGCUCUCCUCGGCCCCCCUUUGGGGAGAAGGAAGCCAGGGGAGGCUCAGCGGGGAGGGAGGGGACUCGUUCCUAGCACGGAUGGGGAGGCCGUGGCAGCCUCCAGCCACUACCAGGAACCGGGUCCCUCCUGGCCUCCCAGCUGGGGCCAGCCAGUGCCCGGAGCCUCUGUUUGGAGUGCCAGGGAGGGAGGGCGCCAUGGCCCAGUGCCAGGCAGCCGGCCCUCCCCUCCUGGCGUGGGGGAAAGGCCUGGCCGAGGGCAGCAGUGCCGGGAGGCCCGCCGGGUCCCUGAAGGUGAUGCAGCUGUUGUUCUCCCCAGUUUACAGCUGGGCAUACUGAGUCCCAGAGAUCCCAAUGGUCAGAGACCCAGAAGGGGCCGCCCCCGGGGGCUCCUGCCGCAUUUGCCCCCAAAAGCCAUAGAAGGGCCGGUGGCCCCGCCCCCUCCUGCAGCCAGCCCCAGGGGGAACCUCGGUCCUUGCUGUGAUCCGCCAGUGGCUCCAGGAAGGGAGGCUCCCCCCCCCCCAUCGUCCCGCAGCCUUGUCGGUGGGUGGCUCAUGGGGCGCAGGUGCCCCCGAGGGCCAACCGAGGGCAAAGGGCUGGGUGGACCCGCCGGGUGCCACAGAGGAAGCGCCCCACGGACUCCCCGACGGGCCACUUGGAAAGUUCUCUCACCCACACCGCACCGCACCUGGGGUAGGGGGGCCAGGAGGACCGCCGCGGGGGUGGGGGUGGGGGGCACCCUGGGAAGAGGCUUCCAACGGGGGGGGGGCGGGUCCGUUCCUUCCUGGAGGAGUUCAAUUAGGCUGCGGGGGGGGGGGGACUGGAAUCCCGUUCGGCCCUCUGCCCUGGUUUUACGGAUGAAGAAACUGAGGCACGGGGAAAGCGGUGAACCCACGUGGGUGCCCCAUUUGAGGCGCCCCCUCCUCUGA